UAGAUUGCUUUGGGCAGUAUGGCCUUUUUAAUGAUACUUACUCUCCAAUCCAUGAGCAUGGGAUGUUUUUCAUUUGUAUCAUUUACGAUUUCUUUCAGCGGUGUUUGGUAGUUCUCCUUGAGGAGAUCCUUCACCUCCUUGAUUAGAUGUAGUCCUAGAUAUUUCUUUUUCUGUGUGGCUAUUUUGAAUCAGAUUGUUCUUGGUUUCACUCUCAGCUUAAACAUUAUUAGUGUAUAGAAGUGCAACUGGUUUUUGUACUUUGAUUUUGUGUCUUGAAACUUUACUUAAAUCACUUAUCAGUUCUGGGAGUCUUUUCGUGGAGUCUUUAGGGUUUUCUAGGUAUAGCAUCAUAUCAUCAUUAAAAAGAAGUAGUUUGACUUCCUUCUGUCCUAUAUGGAUACCUUUCAUUUCUUUCUCUUGCAUGAUUGCUCUGGCUAGGACUUCUGUUACUAUGUUGAGUAGAGUGGUGAGAGUAGACAUACUUUAUUUUACCUUUGUCA